CUUUCCAGUGCUCUUAGCAGCAUCUACACCCCUGUAUUUUUCUCUCCUUCAACUUCCCAAGCCUCAUUCUUGCCACGAUCACACCAGGACAACAGCUUCAAUCUACUGCUAAAAGAAUAAUGUCAAACAAAUUUUCUGAUUGCUGGGUAUUGUUUCUCCUGGAAUACAAUGGUAUUUCUCUGAGAGCUUGAAAGUAGGUCACUGCAGCACAGGAAGGGCCUUGUACAGCAGAAAACAACCACACAGCCACUGGGGAUGGAGCUGCAUGAGGAAUGCAGAGUCAUGCUGUGGUUUUGAAGCUGCCUUUGCAUGAGCAACACGGUUCAGCAGAUCCCAGCUCUGGAGACUGAAAAGUCACCCAUAGAGAUGCUGCGUGGGCAUUUCUGCAGCCAGGCCCCAGGAACGUGCCGAAGUCCUGCUGCAGGAAGAUGGUGUGUACCCUUCCAGGGGAAGGUGACUGGAAUUCCUGAUCACUUGAAACACGUGGCUACCCACAAAAGGCAGCAAGGUGGGGAAUGUGCCACUGCCUGUCAGUGGACAUUGUAGUGCUGAACGGAUGCUGACGGUGAGCAAGGAGGUCUCUUCUCCCUUUCCUCAUCAGGAAGGAAGGCAAAGAGACUUGACCAGUGGUAAAGAUGUUCAACUGGGUUUGGGGCUUUUUUUUUUUUUUUUUUUUUUUAAUGUAUGAGGCUGGCUUCUUCUUUUGUCUUUAUCUCCAAAGGAGUAAAAUUGCUUUUCCUGACUGUAGAAAGAUGCUUCAGGAAUUUAAUGCUAUAGGGUCAUAUUCUGGCUAUCAAUAUUAAUGCUUUAAUCCUGGAUUUGGAAGUGCCUUCUAGAAUGUUACCAGAAAAUUCUUCACUUUUGAGGAGUUAUUAAUAAUACAGGAGGAGGAAAAUGUAUCACAUUUGAGCUAUAUAUGUGAAAGCUCCCAUUGAAGAGAAUGUGUCUGAGAUGAUUUAAAGCUCCUGAAAGAAAUCCUGUAUAGGAUCUGUAAAUUUAUUGUUAAUUGUUAUCAAAUAGGUACC